GCUGAGACUAGAGUCACAUCUUGGCAUUUCUGAUUGCCUUGGUGUGCUAGAGUACUCGGAGAUAAACUACUGGUCUUUAUUCACUGUUUGGAUGUCAUUGUCUUCCAACCAGCCACCUGUUCAGUGACAAGU
ensembl:snoRNA